rnacentral:ncRNA from 1 species
UUCUGUAAAUCACACUCUAGCCUUUGUGCCUAAGUCCUCGUGAUAUGGCGCACUGGCCGUAGCCUUUGAGCUGCCAGGGUGCAGAAAGAAAUGACUGCAUCUCCCCAUAUUGGAAAGGUGUUCUGGUGUCACAAUU